rnacentral:lncRNA from 1 species
UGGCAAGAACUGACAUGACAAUAUGUAUUUCACUGAUACAGUAAGAAAACGCCAACAAGUAACCGACUUCACACUCUAAACAUUGCGUGGAUUCAGGUCCAAGGUAGCUGCAGAUCUGUAAUACAAACGUUCAGACAUUACAGAUUGUCUGUUUACAAACAUAGACCAACUAUAAUAAACCAGGCUAAGCCGAAAACGCUUCUAUCUGAGUCUGCUUUUACUAAUAAAUCCCGUGAUUGAUAAGGCAGUUGCUAAGGAAAAUGUCUCAUUCCAGACUGGUUUAACAAUGGACACUAGAGAAAUUUCAUUUGCCAACUUUGGAUGGGCCACAGCCCGGUGGCCGAGGUGCGUUCCUGUUUUUAUCGACUUCCGAUCUUGAUGUCACCAGGAGUGUGGAUGCGACUCUCCGAGUUGCCCGUCUUUCUAGGCCUACUCAGGAUGGAAUUUGCUGGGUCAUCAACAUACCAGUAUGUUUGACAUUACUUAGGUUUAAUAUUCAGCGGAGAGUACUACAGUUAUUAUUUAAAAUAAGAAAACACGGACUUUCAGAAUCAACCUAUUUAGGGGUGGGUUUUUUUGUUUUUGUUUUAUGGGUUUUUUUGCAAAGCUAAAGACCCUCCAGAUAACUAUUCCACGAAUCUCAUAAUUGCCGCCACCCAUGUUCCACAUAGAGGACGCCACUUUCGGUAACUGUCGACAACAGCCAUUCCCCUCCACGGGUCUUCUGGCCAGCGCGGGGUUUUAACUGGGGAGACUAAGGAGGCUGCCAGUCUACUGAAUGCUUUGGACACGGACUCUGAUCAGCUGUGUUUCAUUGUCCUUUGAGCCACGGUUACAGGUGACUGAGAUUUUGCACGAGGAGCUGUGGACACUUCAGCUUAGCGAAUGUGUACCCUUCACGCGGACGAAUAUUAGAGGCGAUUAAAAAAUAAUAAUAAAAUAAUCCUUUUUGUACACACAGACGUAGUAACUAAUAUCUUUGGUAUACAACUUACAACGCUUGUAAAGGAAACCAGGUAAGACUCCACCCUUGGUAAAUUUACUUGAAAACAGAGGAAACUCCGAGUCACAUAAUUUACAAUAGAUAUUAAAUAAACUACAGCAAGAAUUAUGAAGAUUUACAGACAUUUAAUCAAGUGAAUGAUUCUUUUAAUUCAUUAAGACCCUUCUCUGUCCCUGAACUAUGUUCCACUAACUUGAAGACAUGCUACAGUAAACACAUAUAUUUGGUUUCUUCGGUCUUGGCUAUAUCUUAUACAAAGGUGAAACCAAGGAACAAUAAAUUAGCAUCGUAAUUGUCUACAGUUGAAACUAUGAUAUACAAUAUAAAUAAACUAUUCAAAAGCCCGAAACAUUUAUGAAAAGAAUUAAGGGACUAGGAGAUACUUUUAGUUUUUACAGUUUUUACAACAAGUGAUUGUGCCGCUGAUAAUCUCAAAGAAAUCAAAGUCUAAAUGAGAUUCCCACUGUUGAUUUUAGUGUCUCACGACAUACAAUAAUUAAGUACUGUUAAAAAUAAUUACCGAUCAGAAAAAUAACAUUAAGGAAAUUACUGCUUUCGCUAUUUUUUGUCAUAUCACGGUUCCCCGCCCUCCCCCCCCCACCGCCCCACAGGACCUAAAGAAUGUAAACACUAUCUUUUAUUUGACUUUAAAGUAUUAAUACUUUAUUUCAAACCAAUGUUGAUCCACAUCUGCACAGCUACCUCUCGGAAUUGUGAAAUAAGGCAAGACUUCCAUACCUGUGGCAUUGCGUGUCAAUAAUACUGCUAACGUUGUUUUGGAGGAUUGGUUUUGCAAUUCUUUGUCCUUCAGUGUUUGUUCUAGAGCAGACUUUGGUCUAGGACUCAGGUCAGUAUCACGCUCUUCCUUUCCCUUUCGGGGAAGGUGGGAACUGCUUUAGCAUCCUUCCAAGUCCAUAUGUGAGCAUCACUGCUGCCGUUCUACGCCUAGGGUACGUUCAAUCGCCAACAAGCAAGGAGACUUGGGGCAGUUUAUUAGCUCACCCUUUCCUUUCCUUUUGCAUAGCUUAACAUGCUUCAGCUUUAAACUACUUAGCACGGUGACUACUUGACAUCCCAGUAAAAU